GUCUGUGACGAUAACCGCUGUAUAGGAAGUGCCGUCUGAUGCGAUAACUGACGAUGGCAAAGCGAAAUCAUUCUGAGA